rnacentral:rRNA from 1 species
GACGAACGCUGGCGGCGUGCCUAAUACAUGCAAGUAGAACGCUGAAGAGAGGAGCUUGCUCUUCUUGGAUGAGUUGCGAACGGGUGAGUAACGCGUAGGUAACCUGCCUUGUAGCGGGGGAUAACUAUUGGAAACGAUAGCUAAUACCGCAUAACAAUGGAUGACACAUGUCAUUUAUUUGAAAGGGGCAAUUGCUCCACUACAAGAUGGACCUGCGUUGUAUUAGCUAGUAGGUGAGGUAAUGGCUCACCUAGGCGACGAUACAUAGCCGACCUGAGAGGGUGAUCGGCCACACUGGGACUGAGACACGGCCCAGACUCCUACGGGAGGCAGCAGUAGGGAAUCUUCGGCAAUGGGGGCAACCCUGACCGAGCAACGCCGCGUGAGUGAAGAAGGUUUUCGGAUCGUAAAGCUCUGUUAUAAGUCAAGAACGGGUGUGAGAGUGGAAAGUUCACACUGUGACGGUAGCUUACCAGAAAGGGACGGCUAACUACGUG